AGUGAACGUUGGCGGCGUGGAUUAGGCAUGCAAGUCGAGCGAGAACCGUAGCAAUACGGGGACAGCGGCGAAAGGGACAGUAAUGUGUAGGUACCUACCCCGAGGUCUGGGAUAGCUGCGGGAAACUGCAGGUAAUACCGGAUAAUGUCUUCGGACCAAAGGUGUGAUUCCACCUUGAGAGGGGCCUGCAUCCUAUUAGCUAGUUGGCGGGGUAAUGGCCCACCAAGGCAACGAUGGGUAGCGGGUGUGAGAGCACGACCCGCGUCAUUGGGACUGGGACACUUCCCAGACACCGACGGGGGGCUGCAGUCGAGGAUCGUCGGCAAUGGGCGAAAGCCUGACCGAGCGACGCCGCGUGCGGGAUGAAGGCCUUCGGGUUGUAAACCGCUGUCGUAGAGGAGGAAAUGCAGGGGGGUUCUCCCUUCUGUUUGACCUAUUCUAGGAGGAAGUACGGGCUAAGUUCGUGCCAGCCGCCGCAGUAA
rnacentral:rRNA from 1 species